rnacentral:lncRNA from 1 species
AUGGAAGAUAUAACAUCUUUAUAAGAUAAUUCAAGUGAGCCCAACGAAAUAGAAGAUACAAAAAUUUAGAAGGGAACUCAAAUGAACUCAAUGAAAUGGAAGAUGCAGCAAAUUUGGAAGAGUAUUCAAGUGCUGUGAAUGAAAUGGAAGAUCCAACAAAUAUGAAAGAUAAAGUGAAGGACCCAGAGGUUGGAGCAAUAUUUGAUUCCUUGGAAGAGCUAGCUGAAUAUUACAAAAAUUACGGGAAAGAAAAGGGGUUUGAAGUUAGUAAAAGGACCUCAAGAAAGGGGGAUGGUGGGGAACUGAAAUAUUUGACUUUGGCAUGUUCACGUUCCGGAAAGUCGAAGUGUAAUU